UGGGGGAUAUUGCACAAUGGGGGGAAACCCUGAUGCAGCGACGCCGCGUGGGUGAAGGAGCACUUCGGUGCGUAAAGCCCUAUCGGCAGGGAAGAAAAGGGGGAAACCCCAGACGGUACCUGACUAAGAAGCCCCGGCUAACUACGUGCC
rnacentral:rRNA from 1 species